AGGGCGGCGGGCUACACAUGCAAGUCGAGCGGUAACAGGGGUAGCUUGCUACCCGCUGACGAGCGGCGGACGGGUGAGUAAUGCAUAGGAAUCUGCCCGAUAGUGGGGGAUAACCUGGGGAAACCCAGGCUAAUACCGCAUACGUCCUACGGGAGAAAGGGGGCUCCGGCUCCCGCUAUUGGAUGAGCCUAUGUCGGAUUAGCUAGUUGGUGAGGUAAAGGCUCACCAAGGCGACGAUCCGUAGCUGGUCUGAGAGGAUGAUCAGCCACAUCGGGACUGAGACACGGCCCGAACUCCUACGGGAGGCAGCAGUGGGGAAUAUUGGACAAUGGGCGAAAGCCUGAUCCAGCCAUGCCGCGUGUGUGAAGAAGGCCCUCGGGUUGUAAAGCACUUUCAGCGAGGAAGAACGCCUAGUGGUUAAUACCCAUUAGGAAAGACAUCACUCGCAGAAGAAGCACCGGCUAACUCCGUGCCAGCAGCCGCGGUAAUACGGAGGGUGCAAGCGUUAAUCGGAAUUACUGGGCGUAAAGCGCGCGUAGGUGGCUUGAUAAGCCGGUUGUGAAAGCCCCGGGCUCAACCUGGGAACGGCAUCCGGAACUGUCAAGCUA
rnacentral:rRNA from 1 species